GCGCUGCUUAGCUCACUGAGUCGGAUUGUUGUGGUGCUUGUAGGUGCGUAUGCGCAUGCGCGGGAGCGGUUAAAUGGCGUCACCCAGCCGCCCGGUCUGUAGUAUCUGAAUUCUGUUCUCCCCGAUCAGCAAUUGCACAUCCAUCCUUUGUCUCCGGCUUCCAUUCACUCCCUGUUUUUACACUGUGACCAAGCGCCAGGCAGCACUUCCCUCCUGAGUUCCGUCUCAGAUGCGGCUGUUUUUCCCGACCCCUCACUUCUGAGGGACUGCGGCUUUGACCCCUUCUGCUCCUCAGCUGGAGGGUCUCACCGAGCACUGGCCGGGUGCCGGCCGCACCCAGGAUCGUUCACAGGACCGGGCUGCUGCCGAUGCCCAGAGACUGCGGCUGGGUGCCGGCCCGCCCUAGAAAAUGUUCCCGGGAUCGUGUAGCAGCAGCGUUUCUGGGAUUUACGGGAUUUACAAAAACCACAACACACACCUGGCGCCAGGCUUCACCCUUAACGACCUCGUUCCAGCGCCAGCGAACGUGGUGGUUCUCCCGGGUCCGCUGGGGCCUUGCCUUUGGGGGCCCCACACAGCCUCUACCCGAUGUCCUCCCAGCAGGGGAACUGCCUCCCUCCGUGUGGCCCGAAGAACCCUGGACUCCGCUCUUGGGGAUUCGUCCUUCCCACCAGCGCACCACCAGGCUCUUCUGAUGAAUGAGAAGAAAUUGAUGGUGAGGCGUUUAGGGACCAAAACAAUGAUAAGACUUGUCAUUUGCCGAGUCUUAGCUUUGUGCCCAUUCCAUCCUCAGGGAGCAGCCUGCAUUACCGCCUCUAAUCGAUCCCCUGAGAGAUGCUCCUCCUGGGGCUGACGGAACACUGGUAAAAGAUACUGCAGAAGGGAUUCCCAGAGAAGGUGGGGAUGCCACUCAACGUCCUUCCCAACUCAACACAUGGGCAGAAGGGACUUUGAAGAAAAGCUAAGUGGUCAUAGAAGAGGUAACACGGUCAUAUUUGGAGAGGGCUUUACGGCUAAUUUUCACGAACAUCAUUUCCUGACGCGCUGAGUGAAUGCCAGUGGUAAGUAAUAGUGCAUUAUUGUUCAGUCCUUACCGUGCGGCUCAUAGGACUUGUCUCAUAUAAUCCUUGUAACAACUCUACGAAGUUGAUGCAGUUACUAUCCCCAUUUUACAGAUGAGGAAACUAGGGGGUGGAGAGGUUCAAGGUCACAUAGAUACUAAGUGGAUGAGCUGGGAUUUAAAAUCUGGCCAUCUGACUCUGCCCCAAAGGCUUAAAAGGACACCAAAUCACCUUGAGAAAAGUGCCCCAGCAGGUGAGGAGAGGGAAGCCCACUCCAAAGAGGCCUGGUCUAACAAAGAGUGUGCGAAGGAGGGAUCUGAGGUGGGUCUCAAAGGAUGUGGAGAGGUGAAGAG